rnacentral:rRNA from 1 species
CCGGUAAACGGCGGCCGUAACUAUAACGGUCCUAAGGUAGCGAAAUUCCUUGUCGGGUAAGUUCCGACCUGCACGAAUGGCGUAAUGAUGGCCAGGCUGUCUCCACCCGAGACUCAGUGAAAUUGAACUCGCUGUGAAGAUGCAGUGUACCCGCGGCAAGACGGAAAGACCCCGUGAACCUUUACUAUAGCUUGACACUGAACAUUGAGCCUUGAUGUGUAGGAUAGGUGGGAGGCUUUGAAGUGUGGACGCCAGUCUGCAUGGAGCCGACCUUGAAAUACCACCCUUUAAUGUUUGAUGUUCUAACGUUGACCCGUAAUCCGGGUUGCGGACAGUGUCUGGUGGGUAGUUUGACUGGGGCGGUCUCC